ensembl:lncRNA
CUCAGAGUGACAGCGCCGCGCCAACAACAUGACAAAGCGUCCAGCCGCGCGCUCCUCGCAGAUGUCGGCCGUGAGAGACUCUCUGUUCCCGUGCAGAGCGUGGACCCUUGGCAUGGAAUCAAUUUCCUUCCGGCUCAUCGUCACUUCUGAGACAGACUGACAGCAGAGGGGGUCCGCUACAAAGGAAGCAAUCUUCAGUGCGGUCAGGUCUGCCAUUGGACUAUAAGGAAUGGCUGAUUUUUCCUGACUGACCGUGAGAACUUAAAAUGAUAAUGAGACGGAACAGGCUCUGCCAGAGACGCGGUCUCAGCCGUGGCUGACCAUCGUGCAUGCCCUUGAACCCAGCUGGACCUCCCAAGAAAUACGGCAACUCAUUAUUCUGUCAGAUGUCACAUCGAGCCAAGCGAGAGUGUCAGUAACUGCUUCCAAACGGAGAUGGAGAUUUCACAUUGUUUAGCGGGAUCCCAGAAUAGAAGGCGUAUUUCAAAGCGUUGACUUUCACAACAGUGCUCGAAUAUAGAACAGAGUAGAAAAGGGCAACUGGGGAACAGUGAAGCAAUGGUGCAAGAAACUCCCCCAGCUUAUAUUUUGCAGCUGGAUUGGAAACUGCGUUUGGAACAAAUGGACUAGAGAACAGAGCUGAAAAGAGCAACUGGGGC